ensembl:lncRNA
AACAGUGAAUAUAAUGAAAGCGUUUCUUGUUAUCUUCAGUGACCGGGGAUAUAAUAAGCGUCCCGACUAGCGACCUCACAAGCUACAACCCGUAUUACCCCGUUGAUGGAACGAUACCAUUACAACCGUUUUAUGGUUAUAGUGACGCUAACAGUGCAAACCCAGGUGUUUCAGGACUGGUUCAGUUCACUGAGUCAUUUGAUUUCGAGGCGGCAAGCCCUCCACCGCAAAAAGCCAGCAGGAAACGGAAUCAUCUAGGGCCAAGCCAUUUCACAUACAAACCAAUUGCUAAAAGAGCCAAAGUAGCGUGUGAAGUGUUUACAGACAAGCAGAUAGCCGUGGAUACCACCAUUAGCAGUGACGGAGAUGUGUUGGGGCAAGAACCUCUAAACGCCUACCUAACUAAAGGAUCUGUGUUGGGAAAAGAACCUCUAAAGGACUGUCUAGCUGAAGGAUAUGUGUUGGGACAAGACCCUCUAAAGGACUAUCUAAACGAAUGGACCGAUACCCAGAUCUCUUCAUGGGAUAAAGCCUCAUUCGACACGGACGUUGAUGAAUCACCCGAUUCAGGACUAGCUUCACCGACAGUAAACACGGAACCAACAGUUGACGAUGGACAGUCACAAGCCGCUAACAGGUCAGCAUUGGUGGUACAAAAUUGUGCUGGUUGGUCUGCCGAGGCCUCGGAUACUGUUGUUUCUGCAAUAACACAGUUAGGGCUAAAUCUAACACAGUUAGGGGCAAACCUAACCCAUUUAUCAGACCGCCUGCUUGUCAUUGAGACGGCGCUAACAAACCAAAACGUAAAGUUGGAUAAUGUAGCUGCUAUCCUAGGUCGUAUGAAGGCUGUUGAAGUUGGCUUGCUAACGUUAAACAGGGGUCAUAUUACUCUUACAAAAGGAUAAGAUGUGUGAGGCGCAUAGAUUAGAUGUGCCGGCUUUUGACUUGGUCAUGAGAGAGGUCAUUACUGCACUGGAUCGUUAAUGUGUGAAUCAUUUGAGUUUUUUUUAUAUACAAAAAAAAAAAUGUUUUAAAG